GCGCCCAUAGUUCAAUUGGAUAGAAUGUCGGAUUCCGGUUCCGAAGGUUGGAGGUUCGAGCCCUCUUGGGCGUA
rnacentral:tRNA from 1 species